rnacentral:rRNA from 1 species
AAGCUGGAUUCGCUAGUAAUCGCGCAUCAGCCAUGGCGCGGUGAAUACGUUCCCGGGCCUCGUACACACCGCCCGUCAAGCCAUGAAAGCCGGGGGCGCCUGAAGUCCGUGACCGCGAGGGUCGGCCUAGGGUGAAACCGGUGAUUGGGGCUAAGUCGUAACAAGGUAAC